GUGAACGCUGGCGGCAGGCCUAACACAUGCAAGUCGAGCGGCAGCGCGGGGGCAACCCUGGCGGCGAGCGGCGGACGGGUGAGGAAUUCGUCGGAAUCUGCCUUUUUGUGGGGGAUAACGUAGGGAAACUUACGCUAAUACCGCAUACGUCCUACGGGAGAAAGUGGGGGACCGCAAGGCCUCACGCAGAAAGAUGAGCCGACGACCGAUUAGCUAGUUGGUGGGGUAAAGGCCCACCAAGGCGACGAUCGGUAGCUGGUCUGAGAGGAUGAUCAGCCACACUGGGACUGAGACACGGCCCAGACUCCUACGGGAGGCAGCAGUGGGGAAUAUUGGACAAUGGGCGCAAGCCUGAUCCAGCCAUGCCGCGUGUGUGAAGAAGGCCUUCGGGUUGUAAAGCACUUUUGUCCGGAAAGAAAUCCCUGGAGCUAAUACCUUCGGGGGAUGACGGUACCGGAAGAAUAAGCACCGGCUAACUUCGUG
rnacentral:rRNA from 1 species